ACUCAGGCCUUUUUAAAGGCUCUCCCAUUGUUUCAAACAAAAGAAA
rfam:Calypte anna contig7187, whole genome shotgun sequence.